rnacentral:misc_RNA from 1 species
GAUUUCUUAAGCAACAGUGGCAUCGACCGUUCGCUGAACAACGACAAAGACAGGGGUGGCCCGUGCCACCCUCUACACGCGUAACCUCACGAACCAGUGAAGCUUGAACCAGUUCUUAUCGUCACUUCAGUCGCGAAGAAUGUGAUUAAAAUUCCUUUUAACGACGCUAGGAACUGGUUAGUGAAAGAUAGAGAGAGAGAGAGAGAGAGAGAGAGAGAGAGAGAGAGAGAAAGAGAAACAGAGAGAACAGAGAUACAGACAGACAGACAGACAGACAGAGGAA